rnacentral:rRNA from 1 species
GUACACGCUGUGACUAGCAUAUCAAUAAGCGGAGGAAAAGAAACUAACAAGGAUUCCCUUAGUAACGGCGAGUGAAGCGGGAAGAGCUCAAAUUUGAAAUCUUCAAGGUUUUACCUUGACGAAUUGUAGUUUAAAGAAGUGUUUUCUGCUGAAGUUUUGGUAAAAGUUCUUUGGAAUAGGACAUCAUAGAGGGUGAGAAUCCCGUAUUUGACCAUUAUUUUCAGCUUUGUGAUACACUUUCAAAGAGUCGGAUUGUUUGGGAAUGCAGUCCAAAAUAGGGUGGUAAAUUUCAUCUAAAGCUAAAUAUUGGCGAGAGACCGAUAGCGAACAAGUACCGUGAGGGAAAGAUGAAAAGAACUUUGAAAAGAGAGUUAAACAGUACGUGAAAUUGUCAAAAGGGAAGCGUUUGACACCAGUGUUGUUUUCUCGAAAAUCAAUUAAAAAUGGCUCGAUUUUGUAUUGCUGAGACCUUAAAAGCUCACUGUACAUUUUUCGUGUCUUUUUUAAUGCACUUUUCGUUUCAACAAGUCAACAUCAGUUUCUUUUGUUGUAAAAGGGUCAUUGGAAGGUGGCUUUCUUUUCGGAGAAAGUGUUUAUAGCCUUUGGCCUCUGCAAUCGGAGAGACUGAGGUCUGCAGCGUAGACUCUUCGGGGUUAGAUACAUUUGUGCUAAGUUAUAGCUUUUUAUAGACAACUUGUUGACUAUAAUUAGUCUUGUAGCUUACUCGCUUAUGCUAUAUUUACCUACGCUUAGGAUGUUGAGUAGCGACAUACGCAC